UUAAGGGCUAAUUGCCACUGGAGAAGGAUUUCUGGUUGGAGAUCCUUCCCUUGUAGUGUUUUCUUUGGAAGUUUUGAUCUUCAGAGAAAGAUGGGCUUGGAUCUCCAAAGGCAAUGAAGUAAUCAACAGCUCAGAGUCAAAAUAUCUGGAGACAUGUCAGAUGCCUUCCUUACCUCUGGUGACUCUAAAUGAAGUGCAGCACAUGAAUGUAUUCUCCCUGAGAAAUGCAAUAAACUAUUUUGCUAUCAAGUGCAUUAAGAUUUCAUCAUACAGUGAAAUCAUUCUUCUGAUUCUUUCCAGCUUCAGCAAUCACUGAGCUUGGAGAACCCUAGGAAAACCCCCAGUCAUCAGUUCCAGACCUUGGAUCAGACCCAUGAGAAUGCAGUGCCAUGGAAAAUGAAUCACCUCCGUUUCUCCAGCAAGGAGGUUCAGCACAAAGCAGCAGCUGAUGCUUGCACAUUCUGUGAUCAUUCCUCAUGAGAAGACUUUCCUGCUUACUGGUUUUAUUUUUGCAAGCCAAUGAGAUGUUGCAGAAGGUUCGUCUGGAAACUGAAGAGUGGGAAGAAACUUUCUCAAACAGUAUCUCAAACCAGAUCUUUCAGACCAGAGAGCACCACUUCAGAGAGAGGAGGUUGUCCAUAGGCGUGAAAGGACUGCCUGUUUGAGAGACCUCCUACUGCAUCCUAUUGCCGUAUUUUAGGCUACCUCUUUCUUCUAAACCUGGUCUUCUGUCUUUGAGUCUGGCUUUUGCAAGUGGCUUUGUGCAAGACCUUUAUAUUUUGUGGUUUCUUUAUGCAUCCUCAGCUAGCAAGGUUUAACUCAAAGAUAAGCUUCAGAAAGAGAUUUCAGUGAAAAAUAAGUCUUCUACCUCCUGAGCCUCCCCCAGCUUGGACUUAGCCAUGGAGGCUCUAUAUCAGCUGACCUGAAGGACAUACUGGCUUGGUGCCUGGAUAUAUCUCAAGUAUUUCUGAGCACUGGCCAAAGGAGGCUGACAGCAAGUAGA